rnacentral:rRNA from 1 species
GACGAACGCUGGCGGCGUGCUUAACACAUGCAAGUCGAACGGAAAGGCCCUGCUUUUGUGGGGUGCUCGAGUGGCGAACGGGUGAGUAACACGUGAGUAACCUGCCCUUGACUUUGGGAUAACUUCAGGAAACUGGGGCUAAUACCGGAUAGGAGCUCCUGCUGCAUGGUGGGGGUUGGAAAGUUUCGGCGGUUGGGGAUGGACUCGCGGCUUAUCAGCUUGUUGGUGGGGUAGUGGCUUACCAAGGCUUUGACGGGUAGCCGGCCUGAGAGGGUGACCGGCCACAUUGGGACUGAGAUAGUGCCCAGACUCCUACGGGAGGCAGCAGUGGGGAAUAUUGCACAAUGGGCGGAAGCCUGAUGCAGCAACGCCGCGUGCGGGAUGACGGCCUUCGGGUUGUAAACCGCUUUCGCCUGUGACGAAGCGUGAGUGACGGGAAUGGGUAAAGAAGCACCGGCUAACUACGU